rnacentral:rRNA from 1 species
AACGAACGCUGGCGGCAUGCCUAACACAUGCAAGUCGAACGAUCCCUUCGGGGAUAGUGGCGCACGGGUGCGUAACGCGUGGGAACCUGCCCUUAGGUUCGGAAUAACUCAGAGAAAUUUGAGCUAAUACCGGAUAAUGUCUUCGGACCAAAGAUUUAUCGCCUUUGGAUGGGCCCGCGUUGGAUUAGCUAGUUGGUGGGGUAAAGGCCUACCAAGGCGACGAUCCAUAGCUGGUCUGAGAGGAUGAUCAGCCACACUGGGACUGAGACACGGCCCAGACCACGCCGGGAUGCAGGAGUGGAGAAUAUUCAACGAUGGGCGAAAGCCUGCUCAAGCAGUGCGGCUGGAGUGAUGAAUGCCUUCGGGUGGUAACCCUUUUUGACCCGUGAAGAGAAUGACAGCCGCGAGAAAAUACGCCCCGGCCACCUCCGCCCCAGCACCCGCGUUAAUACUAGGAACAUCACACGCCGGAAC